ACCGGCGGCUCAAGUGGUGGCCACUAUUAUUGGGCCUAAAGCGUUCGUAGCUGGUUUGAUAAGUCUCUGGUGAAAUCCUGCGGCUCAACCGUGGGGCUUGCUGGAGAUACUAGCAGGCUUGAGGUCGGGAGAGGUUAGAGGUACUCCAGGGGUAGGGGUGAAAUCCUGUAAUCCUUGGAGGACCACCUGUGGCGAAGGCGUCUCACCAGGACGACUCUGACAGUGAGGAACGAAAGCUGGGGGAGCGAACCG
rnacentral:rRNA from 1 species